CGAGUCCGCCAAGGCUGUUAAAAAGUCAUGUACGCAUAAAUAAUGUUUUUAUUUUGAAAACAUAGCCGUUCCUUGACGUUGGUUGAGUUCACCCUCACGUGGUGGUUUGGCGUGAAGUGAACUCUAAAGUUUUAACCUCAGGAGUUAUCCAACCGCGCCUCUCAUACUGAGGUAUGAAUAUAAUAGGGUUACCGUGCCCCUCUAAUAGGCUGGUCCAUGGAACCCGUCCACUGCAGUGACUAAUUUAUAACCCACCAAUUCAAUAAAAUUCAACAGCAUGACAUGGUAAUUAUUUUAUUU
rnacentral:lncRNA from 1 species